UACGUAGGGUGCGAGCGUUGCCCGGAUUUAUUGGGCGUAAAGGGCGCGUAGGCGACUCGGCACGUCCGUUGUGAAAUCGCCCGGCUCAACUGGGCGGGGUCAGCGGAUACGGUCGAGCUUGAGCAAGCUAGGGGGCAAUGGAAUUCCCGGUGUAGUGGUGGAAUGCGUAGAUAUUGGGAAGAACACCAGUGGCGAAGGCGGCUCACUGGCUCGUAACUGACGCUCAGGCGCGACAGCGUGGGGAUCAAACAGG
rnacentral:rRNA from 1 species